CACGUAUUUAGCCGGGGCUUCUUAGUCAGGUACCGUCAUUUUCUUCCCUGCUGAUAGGGCUUUACAUGCCGAAGCACUCCAUCGCCCACGCGGCGUCGCUGCAUCAGGGUUCCCCCCAUUGUGCAAUAUCCCCCACCUGCUGCCUCCCGUAGGAGUCUGGGCCGUGUCUCAGUCCCAAUGUGGCCGCCCACCCUCUCAGGCCGGCUACUGAUCGUCGCCUUGGUGGGCCGUUGCCCCGCCAACCAGCUAAUCAGACGCGGGCCCAUCCUGCACCGCCGGAGCUUCCCCCGCCGCCCCAUGCGGGGCUGCGGGCAUAUGCGGUAUUAGCAGCCGUUUCCGGCUGUUGUCCCCCAGUGCAGGGCAGGUUGCCCACGCGUUACUCACCCGUCCGCCACUGGGCAGCGCCGGCUUCCGCUCCGAAAAGCCUCAGCCUGCGCGCCCCGUUCGACUUGCAUGUGUUAGGCACGCCGCCAGCGUUCAUCCUGAGCCAGGAUCAAA
rnacentral:rRNA from 1 species